rnacentral:misc_RNA from 1 species
CGAAAUGCGAUAAGUAGUGUGAAUUGCAGAAUUCAGUGAAUCAUCGAAUCUUUGAACGCACAUUGCGCCCUUUGGUAUUCCUUAGGGCAUGCCUGUUCGAGCGUCAUCUAAACCCUCAAGCCCUGCUUGGUGUUGGGUGCCUGUCCCGCCCCCCGUGCGCGGACUCACCUCAAAUCCAUUGGCGGCCCUCGUGCCGGCCCCGAGCGCAGCAGAAACGCGGUCUCGUGGCCCGGCGGAGCGUGCCCCCAGAAGCAACAUUCACCGUUUUGACCUCGGAUCAGGUAGGGAUACCCGCUGAACUUAAGC